rnacentral:tRNA from 1 species
CCUUCGAUAGCUCAGUUGGUAGAGCGGUGGACUGUAGAAAGUACUUAAGAAAUACUGAUAGGGAGAAAUCCAUAGGUCGCUGGUUCAAAUCCGGCUCGAAGGA